GGGACAACAGCUAGAAAUGGCUGCUAAUACCGCAUAAGCCUACAGCCUCGCAUGAGGGAGCAGGAAAAGAAAUUCGGUGCAGGAUGAGUCCGCGUCUGAUUAGCUAGUUGGAGGGGUAAAAGCCCACCAAGGCAACGAUCAGUAGCCGGCCUGAGAGGGCGACCGGCCACAUUGGGACUGAGACACGGCCCAAACUCCUACGGGAGGCAGCAGUGGGGAAUAUUGCACAAUGGGGGAAACCCUGAUGCAGCGACGCCGCGUGAGCGAGGAAGUAUUUCGGUAUGUAAAGCUCUAUCAGCAGGGACGAAAAAAGACGGUACCUGACUAAGAAGCCCCGGCUAACUACGUGCCAGCAGCCGCGGUAAUACGUAGGGGGCAAGCGUUAUCCGGAUUUACUGGGUGUAAAGGGAGCGUAGACGGCAAGGCAAGCCAGAAGUGAAGGGGCAGGGCUCAACCCUGUACAUGCUUUUGGAACUGUGGUGCUAGAGUGCAGGAGAGGUAAGUGGAAUUCCUAGUGUAGCGGUGAAAUGCGUAGAUAUUAGGAGGAACACCAGUGGCGAAGGCGGCUUACUGGACUGUAACUGACGUUGAGGCUCGAAAGCGUGGGGAGCAAACAGGAUUAGAUACCCUGGUAGUCCACGCUGUAAACGAUGAAUACUAGGUGUUGGGGGCUGAAGCUCUUCGGUGCCGCAG
rnacentral:rRNA from 1 species